AGAACCUUACCUACCCUUGACAUCCUGCGAAUCCCGAUGAGAGUUGGGAGUGCCGAAAGGAGCGCAGAGACAGGUGCUGCAUGGCUGUCGUCAGCUCGUGUUGUGAGAUGUUGGGUUAAGUCCCGUAACGAGCGCAACCCUUGUCCUUAGUUGCCAGCAUUUAGUUGGGGACUCUAAGGAGACUGCCGGUGAUGAACCGGAGGAAGGCGGGGACGACGUCAAGUCAUCAUGGCCUUUAUGGGUAGGGCUACACACGUGCUACAAUGGGGCGUACAGAGGGUCGCGAACCUGCGAAGGGGAGCCAAUCUCUUAAAGCGUCUCGUAGUCCGGAUUGGAGUCUGCAACUCGACUCCAUGAAGUUGGAAUCGCUAGUAAUCGCGAAUCAGCAACGUCGCGGUGAAUACGUUCCCGGGCCUUGUCACACCGA
rnacentral:rRNA from 1 species